CUUACCCGAGUCUGAUCGCGAUCUCUUCGUGACCGGCAUAUCGGUAAUAUCACGCUGAUCAUCCGAACGUGGCGAUCUCGAGGCUCUAUCGUUGCUGCCCUGCAAGAGCGGAAAUGAAAAUAUGGAGACGAAGGUCACCUGCACUUCACCAACUCAGAUAAGCGAAAAUGGCAGGCAAAGGAAAAUGCAAAAAAAAAGUAUACGGCACGCGUUUGAGGCUGAGGCGACUACAGCGGCGGCUGUUGAGGCCACGCCAAAUGCAAAACACUGCAGCACUCAAAAUAAAGAAGGGAAUACUUAGUUGCACUUUUUAAAACGUACCAUCCUCACUGCUUAUGUGAAUAACACUUGAUUUAUAUACUCUUAAUGCGAUUAUGUUGUUGAAAUAAAAUGUUGAACUUUUGCGAAAAACUGCUUUGACGUCAAGAAAAAUGGAUACAAUCCAGUGUGACCGUAAGGUAGAUUGCAAAUGUAACCUAGUAUUUUGGUAUAUACGCCGUCUCUAAAAUGGUCAUAUCGCGUGAAGCACCACAGUAUUACCAUUUUUGCAUUAGCGAUAUUGGUAUAUUUUCUAGUACAUUUCAGAAUACAGUUUGCGGUCACUUUGACGUUACAUUUUUUAAGUGUACUUGCACUUGUUGCAGAAGAAUUGCGAUUUUAAAGUGUAGAUCAAAAAUGUGAAAUAGAGCACUUGUGAAUAUCAUUACCAUUGUGUGUUUAAGAGCAAAUCUUAGCAGCUUGUGUAGAAACAAAAUGUACUGCGGGAUUACGUGACCGAAAGCAUAGUGUCAAAACAGCAGGUCAUUUGUCAUAAUGUAGUUCUGCUGCAGGUGAGGGUGAUAAAACGAAAACGCGUCUCGAUCAAUUGGUUGAUAACAAUAAUAAAACUCUUAAUUCAGCUGCAAGGUACGAACUUUAUAUUUUUCAACGGUCUUAAUCUUAAAAAAAACUACAGACUAACCUAGAUAUUUUUACAAUUUUCAUUCGCUGUGACUAAUUUUAAAUUUGGGGGGUUUUUAAUUCUACCACGUCAAAAAAAAAAUCCUCAAAUUAAGUACGAAGGCAACUUUUUUUUGGUGACAACACUUAAAUGGCGUGGCAGUGUUAGUGAAAAGAUAUAUUUAUGCAUAUAAUAUAUUCAUGGAUUUGUACAUAUAUUUGUAUUUAUAUACAAAAUCAAUUACAAAUUAAAAGGAACUAUGUGAACAGUUACGAUAUUAAACAACGAUUUAAUUUGUAUGUAUAUUUUUACAAUUCAUUGUUAACUAUUUACAACAGUUCAACCGUUUCUAUGAAUCACAAUUUCUGCCUCUUUUGUGCAUCAGGCGAUCUCUCAUUCAUGGAUUUAUCUGUGUGUACUAUAUGUGUGUUUAUGUGUUAAAGCUAAUGUCAGUCAGAUGACUUUUUCUUGUAAGUUCCAUCAAAAAUAUUCAAUUUUGCCAAAA